AGAGUUUGAUCCUGGCUCAGAUUGAACGCUGGCGGCAUGCCUUACACAUGCAAGUCGAACGGCAGCACGGGGGCAACCCUGGUGGCGAGUGGCGAACGGGUGAGUAAUGCAUCGGAAUGUACCCAGUAGUGGGGGAUAACUAGUCGAAAGAUUAGCUAAUACCGCAUACGCACUAUGGUGGAAAGCGGGGGAUCGCAAGACCUCGCGCUAUUGGAGCAGCCGAUGUCCGAUUAGGUAGUUGGUGGGGUAAAAGCCUACCAAGCCCGCGAUCGGUAACUGGUCUGAGAGGACGACCAGUCACACUGGGACUGAGACACGGCCCAGACUCCUACGGGAGGCAGCAGUGGGGAAUUUUGGACAAUGGGGGAAACCCUGAUCCAGCAAUGCCGCGUGUGUGACGAAGGCCUUCGGGUUGUAAAGCACUUUUGGCGGGAACGAAACGGCGCUUUCUAAUACAGAGCGCUAAUGACGGUACCCGCAGAAUAAGCACCGGCUAACUACGUGCCAGCAGCCGCGGUAAUACGUAGGGUGCAAGCGUUAAUCGGAAUUACUGGGCGUAAAGCGUGCGCAGGCGGUUUCGUAAGA
rnacentral:rRNA from 1 species